GAUGAAGAACGCAGCGAAAUGCGACAAGUAAUGUGAAUUGCAGAAUUCCGUGAAUCAUCGAAUCUUUGAACGCACAUUGCGCCCUCUGGUAUUCUGGAGGGCAUGCCUGUCCGAGCGUCAUUACAACCCUCAAGCUCAGCUUGGUGUUGGGCCCCGCCGCCCCGGCGGGCCCUAAAGUCAGUGGCGGUGCCGUCCGGCUCCGAGCGUAGUAAUUCUUCUCGCUCUGGAGGUCCGGUCGUGUGCUCGCCAGCAACCCCCAAUUUUUUUCAGGUUGACCUCGGAUCAGGUAGGGAUACCCGCUGAACUUAAGCAUAUCAAUAAGCGGAGGA
rnacentral:misc_RNA from 1 species